UGAUGAUGGGAGGCACCUGCUCAGCUUUUCUCUCACCUCCAGCUCCUGCCUGGUGCCAGUCAUCAGUUUACCACCUGUCAGGACCUACUCCAACCCGAGAGGCUCCAGGGCUGUUCUCUGGUGAUAGCCCUGGAGAUUGCUGCUUACAUCACACACACAUUUCAGUCAGGACAGACAGACUUCACAGGCAGAUUUUGCAAUCACAGGGCGUCUGUCCCGAGCAGCAGCCAGAUAAAUCCCCCCCAUGGAGCCCAGACACUGGUGGUGCUGACGACGGAUGACUCUGCAGAGGCUGAUGAAGCUAAUGAAGCUGAUGAAUAGGCGCUGAUGGGGACUUGGAAGGUGCACACAACUGCAGCAUUAAUGUACCAAAGGAAGAAAGAGAAUUGUAUUUAAAAAGACAACAGCAAGAUGAUAGACAAUAAAAGUGUG